GGUUGUGGCUCAGGGGUAGAGCGCACGCCUAGCAUGUGUGAGGCACUGGGUUCGAUCCUCAGCACCA
rnacentral:tRNA from 1 species